AACGUGACCAAUGAGGCUCUGCCGAGGUGCGUUAUUGCUGGUUGAAAACUUUUCCCAAUUGCCCGCGAUGGCCCCUGAAAUAUGGGUGUCAUACGCAAUUUUUGAACGCUCCUCGGGGAG
rnacentral:snRNA from 1 species